UACGAAGGGUGCUAGCGUUGUUCGGAAUCACUGGGCGUAAAGCGCGCGUAGGCGGCUAUCCAAGUCAGAGGUGAAAUCCCUGGGCUCAACCCAGGAACUGCCUUUGAAACUGUAUAGCUUGAGUGUUGGAGGGGAUAGCGGAAUUGCUAAUGUAGAGGUGAAAUUCGUAGAUAUUAGCAGGAACACCGGUGGCGAAGGCGGCUAUCUGGACAACAACUGACGCUGAGGCGCGAAAGCGUGGGGACCAAACAGG
rnacentral:rRNA from 1 species